AGCGAACGCUGGCGGCAGGCCUAAUACAUGCAAGUCGAACGAAGCCUUCGGGCUUAGUGGCGGACGGGUGAGUAACACGUGGGAACGUACCCUUUGGUUCGGAACAACUCAGGGAAACUUGAGCUAAUACCGAAUGAGCCCCCAUCCUUGAACAAGAUGGGUGGGAAAGAUUUAUCGCCAUUGGAGCGGCCCGCGUCUGAUUAGCUAGUUGGUGGGGUAAAGGCCCACCAAGGCUACGAUCAGAGCUGGUCUGAGAGGAUGAUCAGCCACACUGGGACUGAGACACGGCCCAGACUCCUACGGGAGGCAGCAGUAGGGAAUCUUGCGCAAUGGGCGAAAGCCUGACGCAGCCAUGCCGCGUGAAUGAUGAAGGUCUUAGGAUUGUAAAAUUCUUCAGCGGGGACGAUAAUGACGGUACCGCAGAGAGCCCCGGCUAACUUCGUGCCAGCAGCCGCA
rnacentral:rRNA from 1 species